AUAUCAUUCAGCGGAGGAAAAGAAACUAACAAGGAUUCCCUUAGUAAUGGCGAAUGAAGUGGGAACAGCCCAAUAUUAAAAUCUCAGUCAAUUUAUGGCUGCGAAUUGUAAUUGGAUAACUAUUGGUGCAAAUUCGGUCAAAAGUCCGCUGGAAAGUGGCACCACAGAGGGUAAUAGUCCCAUUUAGACUGAAAUAUAACCUUUAGUUAAAGAGUCGUGUUAUUUGGGAUUGUAGCACAAAGCGGGUGGUAAAUUCCAUCCAAGGCUAAAUAUAGCAAGAGACCGAUAGCGCACAAGUA
rnacentral:rRNA from 1 species